CUGCUUUUUGAAAAAAACAAAGUCAAAAUGCUUUGAAACCAUAGGAAGAAAAAAAACCUCACGGGUGUGUGAAUUAUUUUACACAUAAGGGGAAGGCUGAGCUGGAUCUUUCCUGUUGAGACUUUGAACUUAGCAAAGGAAAAGUUAUCUGUAGAAUGCUGAGUGUACUGACCCACAUUGAGAGCAUAGGAGGGACACAAAGAUUUUCAAUACUAAGCAUAAAAGUUAAAUUUAAAACGCAUGUGAAAAGGAAGAAAGAGCAUUUACGUUUUUCUAGUUCGAGAUGCAAAUAAUUGCAUCCACUAAUGGUAGCGAUGAUGCAUGUGAUACAUAGCUUUGCAAUUAAAAAUAAUUUGAGAUAGGACAAAGUAGGCAUCAUCAAUUUUUGAAAACAUUCCCAGUUUGUUAUGUUAACAUUAAAUGGUUGCUGUGUGUUCACAACACAAACAUGUAGGAGGUCUAAAGAAAAUAAAAUAACGUCUUGUGUGUGAGACAAACUUUCAACAUUGUAACAACCAACUCUGCUUGCAAACCCACGUUUCUGUUUGUAAACAAACAUUCUGCUCACUUUCAGGCAUACUUUUAGCUUUAAUGUUGUGGUUUUCAUACCCACCAGGUAGAUAUGCGCUGUGUAGAUGGAACGAACUGCUGUAGGAUUGGGGCUCCUCUCGACACUUGCCUUUCCCAGUGCAGCGUGGUCACCGUGUGUCACAGCCUUGGAAGACCCUUAGUUCACUUGCUGCCGGUUUUCACAUCGUAAAGACAGCGCAUCCCAGAAUCGUCAGGUCCCCGAGCAAACCGCCGUGCUACGGGCAGCAGAGCAGCUACAGGGCACUCCAGGACCAAUUGGGGUUUCCGGAUCAGCAGGACCAAAAGGAGAAAGGGUGGUGCGACAGAAGAGCAGCCGCUUGCUUGAAUGGCUUUGACCCAGCUCCUCGCCAUCGCGUCCGUUCAGGACAAUGCCUGAGGACACUUCGUUUCUGAUUCUUUAAGAAGCCAGGCUGACCCAGAGCUGGGCACAGCGGCUCGGUCACCACAGCCCGUCACCGCACGCUCCCAGUGAGCUUGGCAGUCCUUCAUCCACCAUCCAACCCGAAUCACGCACCGCUCCGAGGGUAUCGCACGACAUCCACAUCCACCAGUGUCAAUAUAUCCACUACACAAGGACGAAGAGACACACCAGCCGAGGCCCCUGCCGUGCCCAGGUCUCCUGCUGUGACUUCACACCGGCUGCCUGUUCCUCCUGCCCAGUGCAGAGACAGCGUUCAGAAAGCACCUGAUGCAGACCCAAACAGCUGGAGGAAUCAGGACAACAGCUCCUUGUCUCAUUGUGCAUCUCGGAUCCCCGGGGCAACUUUAGCCCCUAAAUCUGCACUUGGCCUUUUGCUCUAUCGCCAUCCCAUCACUGCUGUGGAGUAUCAGGAGUUCACCGACCACUCUGCCAAAAGCAACAGCAGUUCCGAUAUUCCCCUUUAGUCGGAGCUGCCCGACAAUUUUCUGUGCCUUCUGCUCUCCUCACUCCAGGCCUUGCUCUUAAGCGCAUCCUAGUUAAGCCGUUGCAGCGCAGUGUAAAACUGACCUUCAUCCCUGCGGUCGCCACCCCCGGAGCGCCCUGGAAAGACAGGAACACCUUGUUUGAAAUGAACCGGACACGAACUUUUAAAAACAAAGCAGAAUCAGCCAGGUGGAACCAAAAAGGCAAAAUCCACAUUUUUUCCUUUCUGAAACUCAGAAGUAAUGCUGCAGCACCACACAGCACGCAUCCUCCUUCCCUGUGCAGGCCCUUCACCUAUGGCAGUGGCUCUGCUUCCCAGAAAGCUCCUCCAGAGACAGAUAUCGUCAGCACAACCCGGUCAAGACAACCAGAUUUCCACCCUCCCCGGUUUUAGUCCUGCAAGUGAAUCAAAGGCCAACAAGCAGAACAGUGUCAAGUAACUCAGGAAUGCAAAGGCAGACUGAGGACCAAACACCCGUUCAGCGCUUGAUCCCAGCUACAUCAGCUCGAGCAUCCUGAGCAAGGCCAGCUCGUACCCCAGAGCUGGCUUUUCCAUCCGUUCUGUUUUCCUCACCAAAGCCAAACCCUGCAGUAAAUUUUUGAGGAGAGCUCUGAAGCCAACCACCUUAGGGAAAAACAAUACUUCCAGGCGCUGCAAUUCGGGCACAAUUCUGCAGCACUGAGCGAGCCACCGCCACGAGACCAUGGAGUCCAGCAAUCCGAGAGAGCUGCUCCCACAGGGACAGUCAUGUUUUCCUCGACAGCGCCGGUGUAAAAAGCAGGUCUUCCCUGUCAGCCCUUUGCUCUAACAUCUCUGUACGCCCUGUGUUAAUAUUAGUUAGGUCCUGGUGAAAAGGUCCAGUUAGUGAAGCGAGUAUGAGGGAUACUAAGGGUGUAAGGAGAGGGGAGGGGUGAAGCGGUGUUAGGGGUUGGGGUGUAGCACAUGAGGCAGAGAGGAGGACCGGGAGCCAAGUUCAAAGUGAAAGGAGCUUCAAAAAGUUCAAACAAGGAGGAGUGGGGAGCCAGAGAGCAGCAGGAUCAUACCUCUCAGCUUUCUGAAACAGAAAUCAGGGACAAAGCUAAAAAACACAAGGACAGAAGAUGGAGAUCAGGGAUUCUAUGCAAUAAACGGGGGAAAAAGCAUUCCAGAUGGUCUCGGGGUUAGUAGGUUUUAGUGAAUUCGGGCUAGAGUCAUGAAAGGGCUGACGUGCAGCGAGUGGCUGGGGUUAGGCUUUCGCAGCGCAUUUGGGACGCCUGUUCCUCACUCUUUGGCCUUUAAGUGGCAGAUUAUGUUAUUUUCUAGUAUUUAUCCUCAAACCGCGAUGCACACACAUGCAAGCUUGCUUGCACGCUGAUCCUGACUUGUCACUGCAUUAGUGCAGGUUCACACCUGUGCAACCCUACCAACCACACAUCGCUGAAAGCCCCAAUUUACAAAACACCAGUUCCCUAUAAAUGUCGGCAAUCGGCCGCUCUCACUAGCAUAAAGCAUUAACAUCCUGAUGUUGCAAGACAGCAUCAGACUGGGCAUGCCAUUUGCUUUGUAAAACACCUCUUCCCCGCCAUCUCCUUCAUAAAUUAGGCCCUGUAUUUUGCAAUUUAGAAGCAGAAAGAAUUCAGCUGAGGAGAGCCAUUGACUGACAGACACACACACAAAUCCAGGCGAUGCUUGCACAUCAGGGACAGUCGAGAGGUGUGGGUGAGACCAGGCAGACAAGCGUCACUCUGCUGUUUCCGAGGUACCUUAGAGCCAUGUCUUCCUGGCAGCCCCGGCAUGCCUCUCUCCCCCUGGAAGCAGAGUGAGAAACACAGAAAAGAGAGCAACAGACACGAGGUGAGGAGAAACCCUCCUGGUGAGACGAAGCGCUGCCCGUGUCCCUGACCCUCGCCAAGCCCACUGCCCCGGCCAGGGCCAUUUCCCAUUGCAGCGCCUCUCGAGACCGUUUGGCACAGCAGGGCUGAGCACAGUGUCCGCAUCCCUCUGCCGCAUCCCCCACCACGGCAUUCUGCAGCGACUACAGGAUGGACAAACGUAUCUGGGGAGACACAGAAGCCAAGGGCUGCCUUGUAUUGUUAGCCUGAAUUCUAUCUGAUGGUAAAUGGAAAACAAACCAUCUUUGGACAGACUGAUUACCAUUUUUUAUUCUAGGUGUUUAGUCCUUGCUUGGAAGGACUGUUAAGCAGGGAUAUGUAUAUAUGCUUAUUUUAAAAAAGUACUUUUUGCAAGUAUGGCAUCUUGCAAACUCUACUUUAUAAAACGCUGUCUAGUACUAUAAUAUAGAAGAUCUGGGCAGCAUGGGUACCUCCUACCCUAUACAAGGUACUUAACUAGGGUAUUUUCAGCCAUAAGAAAAAUAAACUAGUAAUUAUGAACACUUCAUAGUGAAGAAGUGGGGACCACUCUCAGUCCCUCCCUCCCAACUGUGCUCCCUGGUUUUGUUCUUAAAUGAGACCAGGAGGGCCAAUGCUUUCCACCUGGGGACCCCCUGUGCUUGCAGAGGCUGCCCCCCAGAGCAGCCCUGCGUGGGAAGUCAUUCCCCGUCCCUGGCACUUUCCUGGAGGAAACUGCCUUAAUUAUUUAGCCCUGCAAAAGCCAAGCCCCCUCAGGGAGGGGGAGAAAAGCAGCCCCUUGCAGAGGGCAGGUUACAGAGCAGUGUUUUCUGACCAUGGCCUCAGCCGGCUCGCACAGCCCCCGUCGGCAGGAUCACACAGGCACUAGAGCUAAUUAGAGAGCAGGAGCAACAAACAUAACCCUGCACCAUUAAAGAGCAGGAAGAAAGCCCAGAGCCAAAGCCAGAGAAGAAGCACGAAAAACAACUCCACAGAGCAUCUUUGAACCCUAUGCAUUUGAAAGCCAUAGUAAUACAGUGAGUACCCACCAGGCCGGUCCCUUUGGGCUGAGAAAGCACCGCACAGGGUGCCACGCUAUCUGGUGCGCAAACCCACCAGAAGCAGCGCUGCGGCGGCACAGCCGAACCAGGAGCUGCGACACACCACCAGAGGCAGAUGUAGAAGGCCAAGAUCCCUGCUGGGCUCCGGGAGCACAGUCAGCAGCAUCGCCCAGCUCUCCUAAACCUUGCACUGAUCUAGGUAACACCUUCCUGCUCCCCUGUUCUCGUUGGGCAAGAGAGGCCACAGCUCUCCAGCCAAAACCCUCACACCUUCCUCCCCUGCAGCUUUAUACCCACUCGGUGCCCGUCACGACAGAGCAUGCCCGUGCUGAUCAGCUCGUUAGCAGUACUGGCUGCCAAUUAAAAGAGGGACCCUUCCUUUUUUGCUCCUUUCUGUGGAAGGCAGAUUACGAGGAGGUUAUUGAGCAAGGCUGUGGCCAGUUUCUUUAUUACUCUUUCCUCAAGAGCAUGAGAAAAAGACUCAAUCUAAAGACCUUUCGAAAAACACCCUGUCAGUAAAGCGGAACGUGAUGACUAAGCUGGGGGGCUGUGAGUCAAACGCUUGUUCAAAUGACACAGCUGAUCACACUUACUGGCUGUCUAGUGACCCUCAUGGGACACAGAUGUAGGUUCUGGGUGCAAUUCUGCUUUCAUUUACACAGGCGCACACCAGGAGCGGUGCCUUUGUGCUUGAUGGAAUUACGCUGAUGUGAAGAUGGACACGGGGGAGCCUUUAGACUUGACUUUAUUAUUUCUGAGGAGGCGUCGUUUCCUUGUGGGAGGACAAUUGCUGCUGUUCUGUUCAGCUAUUAACCCAGACCCUGCACUCCCCAAGAACCUUUCUUUAAACUUGAUGUAACUCACCCAUGCUAAGUUUGAAGGGGCCUUUUCUCCCUUCAAACAGUAAUCCAUCCAGAUGGAAAAAAUAUAGAAAAUGUAUAUGCUACACGAUAAAUGAGAUGCACGCCACAUAUUAAAUACUUGAAAUGUA